GGAAUUGUAAAUGAACAUCAUCACUGGACAUUAGUGGUCAUUUACCCACAAGAAAAGAAGUCGCUGUAUCUUGAUCCACUCGGAGAAACUAAACAAGGUAUCCAAAAUUGUUUGGAAUCAACAAGGGCAUUCAUGCGAAAAAAAGGAUGCAACGUCUCAAGAUGGACUUGUGACACAGUCAAACACCCAAAACAAUUGGACGCUACCUCAUGUGGAGUCUUUGCAUUGAAAUUUGCUGAAAAGAUCUUGCAAAAAGAGUCAAUAGACUUUCCGUCUACAAAAAAGGCCAUAAACACACACAGGCUGCAAAUUGCCACCACUCUCCUCCUAGAGACAGAUGACUUGACAAACAUCUGUCUUUUCUGCGGCGAAGAAGAGCAUGAAACUGACAACAAAUGGAUUCAGUGUGAGAUGUGUUUGCGGUGGUUCCACCAGCUCUGCGUGAAAAGCCCACCACCAGAAGACGUGUUUAUUUGUUUCGCUUGUACAUAGUUGACACUAAAGGUGCACAGCUAGUGUUCUUAUGGCACACAUUGUUGAGAACACACAUAUCGACAUAUAUAUAUAUGUAGAUGUUAAAUUAAGAAGUCUAAAAAAAGAAAAUGGUCUCCAAAGUUACUGUAGUUAUUAGUUAUACUGUGAUUUAUUUUGCAAAUAAACUCUUUCGUGAUAGCAA